CACAUGCAAGUCGAGCGGCAGCGGAAAGUAGCUUGCUACUUUGCCGGCGAGCGGCGGACGGGUGAGUAAUGUCUGGGAAACUGCCUGAUGGAGGGGGAUAACUACUGGAAACGGUAGCUAAUACCGCAUGACCUCGCAAGAGCAAAGUGGGGGACCUUCGGGCCUCACGCCAUCGGAUGUGCCCAGAUGGGAUUAGCUAGUAGGUGGGGUAAUGGCUCACCUAGGCGACGAUCCCUAGCUGGUCUGAGAGGAUGACCAGCCACACUGGAACUGAGACACGGUCCAGACUCCUACGGGAGGCAGCAGUGGGGAAUAUUGCACAAUGGGCGCAAGCCUGAUGCAGCCAUGCCGCGUGUGUGAAGAACGCCUUCGGGUUGUAAAGCACUUUCAKCGAGGAGGAAGGGGUUGAGUUUAAUACGCUCAAUCAUUGACGUUACU
rnacentral:rRNA from 1 species